GUCGUGUGUUCGAGUCGUUUAGUUUAUUGUAGUUCGCGAUCAAAAUGUUGAAUCUUGAAAAUGUCGAACAAACAGCAAGGUUUAUCAAUAAAAGAAAAAAAAAAAAGGGCUGAUACUAGGGACGAGUGUGGCUACUGAUGUAAGUGGGUAGUUUGGAAAGUAGAAUAAAUAAAGUUAUUUAUUAUACCUUGAAUCAACAAAAAACC